rnacentral:rRNA from 1 species
GUGGGGAAUAUUGCGCAAUGGGGGAAACCCUGACGCAGCGACGCCGCGUGAGCGAAGAAGGCCUUAGGGUUGUAAAGCUCUGUUUUAAGGGACGAAUGUCGUGGGGAGUAAUAUGCUCUGCGAAUGACGGUACCUUAAGAGGAAGCCCCGGCUAACUACGUGCCAGCAGCCGCGGUAAGACGUAGGGGGCGAGCGUUGUCCGGAAUUACUGGGCGUAAAGAGCACGUAGGCGGGAACUUAAGUCAGGUAUGAAAGACCGGGGCUCAACUCCGGGGUUGCACUUGAAACUGGGUUUCUUGAGGGCAGGAGAGGAAAGCAGAAUUCCUGGUGUAGCGGUGAAAUGCGUAGAAAUCAGGAGGAAUACCAGUGGCGAAGGCGGCUUUCUGGACUGACCCUGACGCUGAGGUGCGAAAGCGUGGGUAGCAAACAGGAUUAGAAACCCCGGUAGUCC